rnacentral:rRNA from 1 species
GAUGAACGCUGGCGGCGUGCUUAACACAUGCAAGUCGAACGGAAAGGCUCCUGCUUGCAGGGGUACUCGAGUGGCGAACGGGUGAGUAACACGUGGGUGAUCUGCCCUGCACUUCGGGAUAAGCCUGGGAAACUGGGUCUAAUACCGGAUAGGACCACAUUUUGGAUGGUGUGGUGGAAAGUUUUUCGGUGUGGGAUGAGCUCGCGGCCUAUCAGCUUGUUGGUGGGGUAAUGGCCUACCAAGGCGUCGACGGGUAGCCGGCCUGAGAGGGUGUACGGCCACAUUGGGACUGAGAUACGGCCCAGACGCCUACGGGAGGCAACAGUGGGGAAUAUUGCACAAUGGGCGCAAGCCUGAUGCAGCGACGCCGCGUGGGGGAUGACGGCCUUCGGGUUGUAAACUCCUUUCGCUAGGGACGAAGCGCAAGUGACGGUACCUGGAGAAGAAGCACCGGCUAACUACGU